rnacentral:rRNA from 10 species
CACACGUACCCAUCCCGAACACGACCGUUAAGCCCUCUAGCGCCGAUGGUACUUGGACCGCAGGGUCCUGGGAGAGUAGGACGCCGCCAAGC